rnacentral:rRNA from 1 species
GGGGAAUAUUGCACAAUGGGCGAAAGCCUGAUGCAGCAACGCCGCGUGAGCGAAGAAGGCCUUUGGGUCGUAAAGCUCUGUCCUUGGGGAAGAAACAAAUGACGGUACCCUUGGAGGAAGCCCCGGCUAACUACGUGCCAGCAGCCGCGGUAAUACGUAGGGGGCGAGCGUUAUCCGGAAUUAUUGGGCGUAAAGAGUGCGUAGGUGGUUCUUUAAGCGUGGGGUGAAAGGCAGUGGCUUAACCAUUGUAAGCCCUGCGAACUGGAGAACUUGAGUGCAGGAGAGGAAAGCGGAAUUCCUAGUGUAGCGGUGAAAUGCGUAGAUAUUAGGAGGAACACCAGUGGCGAAGGCGGCUUUCUGGACUGUAACUGACACUGAGGCACGAAAGCGUGGGGAGCAAAC